AGAUUGAACGCUGGCGGCAGGCCUAACACAUGCAAGUCGAGCGGUAGAGAGGUGCUUGCACCUCUUGAGAGCGGCGGACGGGUGAGUAGUGCCUAGGAAUCUGCCUAGUGGUGGGGGAUAACGUUCGGAAACGGACGCUAAUACCGCAUACGUCCUACGGGAGAAAGCGGGGGACCUUCGGGCCUCGCGCCAUUAGAUGAGCCUAGGUCGGAUUAGCUAGUUGGUGAGGUAAUGGCUCACCAAGGCGACGAUCCGUAACUGGUCUGAGAGGAUGAUCAGUCACACUGGAACUGAGACACGGCCCAGACCUCCUACGGGAGGCAGCAGUGGGGAAUUUUGGACAAGUGGGCGAAAGCCUAGGACUCCGAGCAAUGCCGCGUGCAGGAAGAGGCCUUCGGUAGUAACUGUCUUUGUACGGAACGAACGGUCGUACUUAAUACAGACGACUAAGU
rnacentral:rRNA from 1 species